AAGAACAGCACAUCUCACCGCAGUGGUUCCUGGUCAGCAGCUCCCUCAGCAGGCUGAAGACAAAUCCCAAAAGGGGGUCCACAGGUGUCACCAGACUGUCAAGAGGUCCAUGAAAAAGGUAAAGAGCCCCCGACCUAGAGAAAGAGAGGCAGAGCAGGUAGCUACAAGACCUCCUCCCGUCAUCCUGCCCCGAACCCCUGACUCACCAGCGGACAGAACUCCAUCACCAGCAGGAUCAAAGCCAGCUCUGACCCCAGUUCUGGUCCCCACCAUCUUCCCCUCUGCACAGCCCACAACACCCAUCCUUGUUGUGAACGAGGGGGCUUGCCAGCUGG